rnacentral:pre_miRNA from 1 species
UAUAUAUACGAAAAAAGCUGGGAUUAGCUCACUAAUUCAUAUGAACAUAUGAGUCCAACGGUCCAGAAUGAAUCUGGGCCGAUCCGACGGUCUCGACUCCAUUUCGUGUUUGAAUUUUAAUUUUUUUUUUUACACAUCCAAAUCAUUUGAUGUUUUUUUUUCAUCAAGGUGUACUCAAUUUUGGAUUUGUAGAAAAAAAAUUAAAAUUCAAACACUAUCGAACAUCGAUGAUCGUUAGAUCAAUUCAUAUUCAAUUUGAGCUGUUGGGCUCAUAUGUUCAUAUGAGCUAGUGGGUUAAUCCUAGCUUUAUAUAUAUAUAUA